rnacentral:misc_RNA from 1 species
ACUAUAAAUAUAAAUCACUUGCAUUGCAACUUUACCAGAACAUCUCUUCCCUUUAAUAUAAAAAUAAUUAAAAAAAAAGGUUGUAUCUUAUCUACGUUACAAGUACAUCAAUGUCAUCAGUAACAUUUUAAAUAUGAACACCGAUUUACAAACAACACAAGCUGCAAACAGAAUUGAGGGGAAACACAAGCACGAUAAAUCUUUACAAUCACCCCAAUGAAGCGUUCGUGCAUUCUAAGCAUUUAUUCACCAUUUCAACCAUCGAGCAUAGCUGAAGUACAAACAUUCUCCUCCUAUUAAACAUGGCAGCUCAAUAUUAAAUCAAUGGAAAUGCCAAUAUCAUACAUCUUCUUUAACACAUCAGCUAGCACCCAUAAUUUCAUGACAGUCGAAUAUUUCUCUCAGUGCAUCAGAAAUCUUGGUGCUUCAUCACCACUAGCCUUUAAAGCAUUAGCUUCUCAUGAAUUAACUAUUCCUUCCUGCUUGAUCGAUCAAGGUGCCAACUUGAUUUCCACAUAAUGCUCUUGAAAUAUUCCCAGGCUCGAGCAAAUUAAAGACUACAACUACAGGGAGGGAACAUUACAUCAGUACAGUACAAAAAGGGCGGGGUAGGAAAGAGGUAAAUGGUGCAAUUAAAAAAGUGUUCAGUAUAGGUAUGACAAACCAGGAAUUCCAUUUUCUUCACAGUAUGUAAUUGCCAUCAUGUCCAUGAAGGUAACACCCCUAGAAACCACUUCCCUGAAAGACAUGUGAUCCAGUAUUAUGCUCGUAUUAGCAGAGUGACAAUCAUAGAUGCCGGCAACGUUUGUACCUUUAAGGAGUGCAUCUGCAUUAACUGACACAAAUAUAUGGAUAUCAGAAAUUCAUUCUGAAAAAUGUAAAGUAAAUUAUAAGGAAGAGCAGAACACAGCAAUACUCUCAGAAGCCCUCAAAGCUGCUGCUGUAUCAGUAGUAAAUAGUGGAUUUCCAGCACCAGCACCCACGCCACCAAAUAUGACAACUCUUCCUUUCUCAAGAUGUCGUAUAGCUCGCUGCCUAUUGUAAGGUUCAACUAACUCUGGCAAUGUGAAUGCACUUUGCACACGGGACUGAAUACCCAGCUUCUCUAAAGCUGACUGAAGCAAUAUAGAAUUCAUCACUGUUGCCAUCAUACCAAUCUGAUAUGCUGUAGGUCUCUCCAAUCCAGUAGCAGAUAUCCAUGAGUCUCCACAAAAGAAGUUACGACCCCCAACAACAAUUGCUACCUCCAGCCCAACACGACAAGCUGCUGCUACUUCCCUCGCAAUCUGCAUUGCCACCUUGGGAUCAAUGUUCUGGCAGUUUCCAGCCAAUGCAGAACCACUAAUUUUAAACACUACUCUUUGCCAUUUUAAAUUAGGCACUGACUUAGCUUUCAUGUUGUUUGCAAAGGCAGCAUUGGUUGGCGUAAAUCUCUUCACUGCUCUAGCCAUCAAGUUACCAUUUCCACCACUUCCUGCAUCACAUUCACUAUCUACACUCGCACCAGCCUUAGCAUUUGUAGAAUUGCCCAUAAUUGCCUCAAUCUGCUUGAACCAAUGCCAACUACUAGUACCACUACUUCCAAAUCCUCCACUACUAUUAUUGAUCCUUUGUAACUCCACUUUAUAUCUUUUCUUUAAAUUAUCAAUCUUGUUCUUACACUGCUCUACGCUCUUCUUGUUAUUGCUCCCUCCUCUAUCGCUCACCGCCUCCGCCACUUCCUCCCAGUCUCUCCCCCUCAAAUUCCCCCUGUUCAGCUGGUUGUACUUCUCCGUGUACGACUCCAGCAAGCAAGAUAUUGCUGUGUCGCUCCAUUCUUCACGGUCCUUCCGAUAAUCAGAGCGGCACUCGCCAGAGUUAGCAUUGAUGUUUGAUUCCGAUUCUACGUUAAUGCCGUUUGGUUUAUGCCUUUUGCUGCUGCUGUUGUUGUAAUAGUAGGGGUGGUGCUGGUUCUGAUUCUGGUGGUUUCGAUUCGAGGAUGGUGUCGCUGGGGCUCCGGGUCCGGAUUUAUCCGGUUCGGAGUCUGCGUAGGAAGAGAAGUAGUCUCCGCCGUUGACGGAUUCAGCAUCAGGGUGGCGCGUUGGCGCGUGAGGAGGAGGCGCGUGGGAGUCGUUGAUGAGAGGGAAGUCGUCGGUGGCCAUGCGAGAGAGGGAAAGGAAGAUUAGGUGAGGUUUAGGGAUUGGAAUUAGAGUGAGAGAGAAAGACGACGUUACGGUUAAAGUGACGGCCAGUGAAGAGAUGGGUGAGAGAACCGGUGACGGAGUGAGCCAGGUUGAAGUUGUUAGGCAGAAACCUAGACACGGGUUUGUAACGGAUCCGUUUAAACAGAGAAGAAACGGGUGUUUCUGGUUAGAUUUUUGGAGAAAUUAU